AUGGCUUCUCGGCCUUUUGGCUACGAUCGAGUGUAGUCUCUGUUCUUAGCAGUUUAAAAGUCAGGCCUGUUUUGCAUUCUUUUCCAUGAGACAUUUUAAUUGAUUUUAAUGCAGAUGUGCUAUUUUAAAUGACUCUUCCAGGAAAACAUCCCCUUCCCUGUCCCACCUGGGGUUUGGAAAGCCCUCUA